rnacentral:rRNA from 1 species
UACGGGGGGGGCAAGCGUUGUUCGGAAUUACUGGGCGUAAAGGGCUCGUAGGCGGCCAACUAAGUCAGACGUGAAAUCCCUCGGCUUAACUGGGGGCGUGCGGGCGAUACGGGCAGACUGGAGUACUGCAGGGGAGACUGGAAUUCCUGGUGUAGCGGUGGAAUGCGCAGAUAUCAGGAGGAACACCGGUGGCGAAGGCGGUUCUCUGGGCCUGUACUGACGCUGAGGAGCGAAAGCGUGGGGAGCGAACAGG